CUUACUGGCGGGACAUUGAGCACGCGACAGUUUACUUGCUCUGGCUCUUAUGAAGAAAGAAGAAGAAAAAUGGCAGCCACUCCAAGUGGCCUCUCUGACAAAGAGAAUCACCUGGCUUGGAAUAUAUCCAUUCGGGAAACAAGGCAGCUCCAAGAUUCAAGGAGACACAGUUUACCCAAGCGAGGAGAAAUCUUGAACUUGAAUCAUUUUUGCCUUCACAUCAGAUUGCCCUGUGCAGUCUUAAAAGUCCCAUUGUCCAUCCAGAAUCCCAUGAAAGUCAAAUCUGCAUCUCUUGAACAGAGACCCAGGUGACUGCUGUGAAAGGAUUGUUCAACCCCCAAUGGAUCAAAAUCAAUGAUUGAGAACUUCUACUCAAAGUGCUAAAACAUAGAUAAAAGAUUUUAUUUUCAUACGCAUGGAUCUCUUUCCUGUUACU
rnacentral:sRNA from 1 species